rnacentral:rRNA from 1 species
GCACAACCCUCUGCAUACCUCUCCAGGUUGCUUCGGCGAACCGAUGGGCACACCCAUCGCUGGCUUUGGCCAGCCUCGUCAGAGAAGACCAUAAACUCUCUCAAUCAGUUGUCUGAGUAGAACACAAUAGUCCAAACUUUCAACAACGGAUCUCUUGGUUCCGGCAUCGAUGAAGAACGCAGCGAAAUGCGAUAAGUAAUGUGAAUUGCAGAAUUCAGUGAAUCAUCGAAUCUUUGAACGCACAUUGCGCCCCUUGGUAUCCCAAGGGGCAUGCCUUUACGAGCGUCAUUAUAGCGUCAAGCACUGCUUGGUCUUGGGGUCGCAUUCUGGAGCGACCCUAGAAACCAGUGGCGGUCCCUCCGGGGCUCAAGCGUCGUAACACAAUUGCGCUAUGCUCCAGGAGCUGUGAUCAGCCAGACCACACCCCCAUACACCGUUGACCUCGGAUUAGGUAGGGAUACCCGCUGAACUUAAGCAUAUCAAUAA